GGUCCUGAGAGGCGUGGGCGUAGAUCCACAGGGACGACUGGAGGACCUGGACGCUCUUGCCGCGUUCCUGCAGAAAUUGAAAGGUCAUGAGUUAGUUUGCAUUGUUCUUCAUGUCCAGUGGAUGAGCACGCAUCUGACAGUUGUCUGGGUCAGACAGGGGCGUGGUACUUCUAAGAAAACAUCUAAACGUGUUUCAUUUGGCUAACCAAACGUUUGUACAAACUUGGUGACAGCCACUGUAUUUCCAUAACAACCUGAACAAGUCGCGAGGAAACUCUGACCCAUUACGCGUAUUUUACGC